UACGUAGGUGGCAAGCGUUAUCCGGAAUUAGUGGGCGUAAAGCGCGCGUAGGCGGUUUUUUAAGUCUGAUGUGAAAGCCCACGGCUCAACCGUGGAGGGUCAUUGGAAACUGGAAAACUUGAGUGCCGAAGAGGAAAGUGGAAUUCCAUGUGUAGCGGUGAAGUGCGCAGAGAUAUGGAGGAACACCAGUGGCGAAGGCGACUUUCUGGUCUGUAACUGACGCUGAUGUGCGAAAGCGUGGGGA
rnacentral:rRNA from 1 species